ACUACGGGUGGCAGCAGUGGGGAAUAUUGGGCAAUGGGCGCAAGCCUGACCCAGCAACGCCGCGUGAAGGAAGAAGGCUUUCGGGUUGUAAACUUCUUUUCUCAGGGACGAAGAAAGUGACGGUACCUGAGGAAUAAGCCACGGCUAACUACGUGCCAGCAGCCGCGGUAAUACGUAGGUGGCAAGCGUUAUCCGGAUUUAUUGGGUGUAAAGGGCGUGUAGGCGGGAGCGCAAGUCAGAUGUGAAAACUCAGGGCUCAACCCUGAGCCUGCAUUUGAAACUGGGUUUCUUGAGUGCUGGAGAGGCAAUCGGAAUUCCGUGUGUAGCGGUGAAAUGCGUAGAUAUACGGAGGAACACCAGUGGCGAAGGCGGAUUGCUGGACAGUAACUGACGCUGAGGCGCGAAAGCGUGGGGAGCAAACAGGAUUAGAUACCCGAGUAGUC
rnacentral:rRNA from 1 species